GAUGAACGCUGGCGGCGUGCUUAACACAUGCAAGUCGAACGAAGCACUUUAUUUGAUUUCCUUCGGGACUGAUUAUUUUGUGACUGAGUGGCGGACGGGUGAGUAACGCGUGGGUAACCUGCCUUGUACAGGGGGAUAACAGUUGGAAACGGCUGCUAAUACCGCAUAAGCGCACGGCAUCGCAUGAUGCAGUGUGAAAAACUCCGGUGGUAUAAGAUGUACCCGCGUUGGAUUAGCUAGUUGGUGAGGUAACGGCCCACCAAGGCGACGAUCCAUAGCCGAACUGAGAGGGUGGCCGGCCACAUUGGGACUGAGACACGGCCCAAACUCCUACGGGAGGCAGCAGUGGGGAAUAUUGCACAAUGGGCGAAAGCCUGAUGCAGCGACGCCGCGUGAGCGAAGAAGUAUUUCGGUAUGUAAAGCUCUAUCAGCAGGGAAGAUAAUGACGGUACCUGACUAAGAAGCACCGGCUAAAUACGUG
rnacentral:rRNA from 1 species